rnacentral:rRNA from 1 species
AUACGGAGGGGGCUAGCGUUGCUCGGAAUUACUGGGCGUAAAGGGCGCGUAGGCGGACUUUUUAGUCAGGCGUGAAAGCCCCGGGCUCAACCCGGGAACUGCGUUUGAUACUGGAAGUCUAGAGUUCUGGAGAGGGUGGUGGAAUUCCCAGUGUAGAGGUGAAAUGCGUAGAUAUUGGGAAGAACACCGGUGGCGAAGGCGGCCACCUGGCCAGACACUGACGCUAAGGCGCGAAAGCGUGGGGAGCAAACAGGAUUAGAAACCCCAGUAGUCC